CAUCAGAUGACUGAAAGCAAGUAAUGGUCUCUUAAACCAGUUUAUGAUACCCCGCAAGUAUCUCUGAUGA
rnacentral:tRNA from 1 species